GUUUCUGUAGUUGAAUACAACGGUGGUUUUUCAAGUCACUAGUCUUGGUUAGAAUCCUAGUAGAAACU
rnacentral:tRNA from 1 species